rnacentral:rRNA from 1 species
GGCGUCGCGGAAUGUGGUGUUUAGGAGGACCGUGCGCGUCUGUCCGGUAUCGUCCAAGUCUCCAUGAAUGGGGCCAGCAACCCAGAGAGGGUGUCAGGCCCGUGGGACGAGCCGCGACGGCGUAUUGGGUCUCUCCUUAGAGUCGGGUUGCUUGAGAGUGCAGCCCUAAGCGGGAGGUAAACUCCUCUAAGGCUAAAUACGGCCACGAGACCGAUAGCGAACAAGUACCGCGAGGGAAAGUUGAAAAGAACUUUGAAGAGAGAGUUCAAUAGUGCGUGAAACCGUUCAGGGGGUUAAACGGGUGGGCCCUCGAAGGUCGAACGGUCCCCAUUCCAGUCAUUCGCAGGCCGGUCCGCGUCGUUAUCCGAUCUCGCUACGGGACGGUGCGGCGCGGGUCGCCGGUCUACGAGGGCCGCAAGUUGGGGACCCAGUAGGACUCCGCAACCGUCUGGGAGGCCGUCAGAAGGGUUCCGGUAGGAAGCCCCCUCGGGGGUGGACUCUGGGAUUUCCGGGCGGUCCUCCCGGCCGUAAACCUGCAUUCUCUCGAACGGUGCGUGGGACGAGCCUCGGUUCGCAAGGGCCGGGGUUGUCGGUUUCACAGCCGCCGGGAGACGCGGCGGAGAGUAGAGUCGGGUCCCACCCGACCCGUCUUGAAACACGGACCAAGGAGUCUAACAUGUGCGCGAGUCGUCGGGUUUGACUAAACCCGAAGCGCAAUGAAAGUGAAGACCGUCCUCGUUGGCGUGUCUAGGG